rnacentral:pre_miRNA from 11 species
CCUCCUGAAACAAGUAAUCAAGAAUAGGCCGUGUUGCCUGGUAACAGCCUAUCCUGGAUUACUUGAACCAGGCUG